rnacentral:rRNA from 1 species
AGAGUUUGAUCAUGGCUCAGGAUGAACGCUGGCGGCGUGCCUAAUACAUGCAAGUCGAGCGGUAAGGCCCCUUCGGGGGUACACGAGCGGCGGACGGCUGAGUAACACGUAGGAGCGUACCCCAAACUGAGGGAUAAGCACCAGAAAUGGUGUCUAAUACCGCAUGUGGCCUUCGGGCUAAAGCUCCGGCGGUUUGGGAACGGCCUGCGCAUGAUUAGCUGGUUGGUGAGGUAAUAGCUCACCAAGGCGAUGAUCAUUAGCUGGUCUGAGAGGAUGACCAGCCAGACUGGGACUGAGAACGGCCCAGACUCCUACGGGAGGCAGCAGUAGGGAAUUUUCCACAAUGGACGAAAGUCUGAUGGAGCAACGCCGCGUGCAGGAUGAAUGCCUUCGGGUUGUAAACUGCUUUUAUCUGUGACGAUUAUGACGGUAGCAGAUGAAUAAGGAUCGGCUGACUCCGUGCCAGCAGCCGCGGUCAUACGGAGGAUCCAAGCGUUAUCCGGAAUUACUGGGCGUAAAGAGUUGCGUAGUGGCAUGGUAAGCAAAUAGUGAAAGCGUUCGGCUCAACCGGAUACACAUUAUUUGAACUGCCAAGCUAGAGGACAAGAGAGGUCACUGGAACUCCUAGUGUAGGAGUGAAAUCCGUAGAUAUUAGGAGGAACACCGAUGGCGUAGGCAGGUGACUGGCUUGUUCUGACACUAAGGCACGAAAGCGUGGGUAGCAAACGGGAUUAGAUACCCCGGUAGUCCACGCCGUAAACGAUGGAUGCUAGCUGUUAGAGGUAUCGACCCCUCUAGUAGCGAAGCUAACGCGUUAAGCAUCCCGCCUGUGGAGUACGGUCGCAAGACUAAAACAUAAAGGAAUUGACGGGGACCCGCACAAGCGGUGGAGCGUGUUGUUUAAUUCGAUGGUAAACGAAGAACCUUACCCAGGCUUGACAUCCUUGGAAUUUCUCCGAAGGGAGAGAGUGCUUUAUUGAGCCAAGUGACAGGUGAUGCAUGGCCGUCGUCAGCUCGUGUCGUGAGAUGUUUGGUUAAGUCCAUCAACGAGCGCAACCCUUGUGAUUAGUUGAAUUUUUCUAAUCAGACUGCCCUGGUAACAGGGAGGAAGGAGGGGAUGAUGUCAGGUCAGUAUUUCCCUUACGUCUGGGGCUACAAACACGCUACAAUGGCCGGUACAAAGGGCAGCCAAGUCGCAAGACGGAGCAAAUCCCAUCAAAGCCGGUCUCAGUUUGGAUUGGAGGCUGAAACUCGCCUCCAUGAAGUCGGAAUCGCUAGUAACGGUAGGUCAGCUAUACUACCGUGAAUACGUUCCCGGGUCUUGUACACACCACCCGUCAAACCAUGAAAGUCGUGAGUACCUGACGUGUGAGCUUUGUCUCGCCCUAAGGUAAGCAAGAUGAUUGGGGUUAAGUCGUAACAAGGUAUCCGUGCGGGAACGUGCGGCUGGAUCACCACCU